GUUUAGUUCAGAUUCACGUAGUAUCUUUUUCUGUCAUUUGUGGUUAGGUUUCUAUAGGGCUUCUCUAGGCUUCUUCCUUACUAUUCAUUACUGUUGAAUAUGUUUUGAUAAUGUUUAUUAAUAUUGGUACCUAAUUGUGCUAAUUAUAGUAGUCGGGGCGGAGGCAGACGCCGGCGAUACGAGGGAGAAGAUUACGGCCCCAGAGUGAAGCGCUUGAGAGGGCCGCCCAACUUCAGGGGCAGAACAGAGAAGUCAGCUUCCUACACACGUGAGAGAGUAAGAGAGAGAUCACCAGUGUACCGCAGUGUUCCUCGAAGAGAGAGUGCCACAUACAACGGCACAAGUAGCCACAAAUUGGAAUCCUCUUUUCAGACAUAUCAGGACUUCAUGAGAGAGAUGCGGGAUUUCCACUCCCGUGCACCAAGUAACCUUCCUCCCAUGGCCUUCCCACCUCCCCCACCAUUUGACCCUAUCGGACCCCCAAGAUACUAUGAUGGACCUCCACUGCCCGAGUAUCCAUCGUCCCGCUCACGCUCAGAAAAGAGACAGUCUGCUGACCCAUAUGACAGAAGUGUCGAUGAAUUCCUGCAAAGAACCCGAGACAGGCGAGAACGGAGCAGGGAACGUCGAUAUGAGAGAAGAUAAACAGGAACCAGAAAGAACAUUAUCUAAGUCAAAUUCUUUUUUAACUUAGGAAUGAACUCAUAAGGAAAAUAUUAUUUAGUAAGAAGAGUACUCUGUGAAACUGAUCAUAUUUUUGGAAUUUACACAAGCUUGUAGAAGAAAAUGUAUCAAACUCUAUUCAGAUCUUAGCAUCAUAAAUGCUUCCAAAGGGUAUUUUGGAUAGCUACCUCACUAACUUUUACCUCUGCUAGACCCAGUUCCUUAAAUCUGGGUCUGGAUUCUGAAAUAUUAAAAGUGGAAAAAGAGAAAAAUAAAGAGUCGAUUCUUACCAAGGACACAUGCAAUACUAAAACAUUGUAUCAGAAGUAAUCCAGUGUUCUGUUGUGUUGCUAUACAGUUUUUAAUACAGAUUGAAUGUGAGUAUGUGUGUGCAUGCAUUUAUGUUUGUUGUAUGAGAGAAUUUAUUUUGUAUAGCAAUAUUUCUGUGCAUACAUGUUCAUAAAGCAGAACACUUUUUGUUUUUAGUGCACCUUGAUCAGCAAUGAUCUUGUCAGAUCAGUAUUAACAUGAUAUUCUAUCUUGUUUGGUAUUAUCAGUAUAUUAUUAUUUGGAAUAUAUAUUUUUGUUUACCAUUUCAAUUUCCAGUAUCUGCUAAUAGAAAUUGAAGGUGAUAGUAAAAUGUAUGCAUUCAAAAUUAGUUUCAAUAAAGAUGUAAGAAAACUGUUUCAUUUCACAAUAUGGGCAUUUUUCUUCAAAAUGGUAUGAAGACUUUUGUAUUAUUGACUUGAAAGAUGUCAAAUGUAGAGUAGUAUCUAAAAUAAUGUACUUAAGUCUUCAUCUUAAAGCAGGGGACCUCUAAUAGAGUGCCUUUUCUGCAUGUACAAGGUACUGGUACUUUGAUUUGCUUAUAAUUCUUCAAGAGCAAGUGAUUCAUUGUCAGUUUUACAUUAAAUAGUUUCAUGAGUAUUGUAGAAGCCAUUUUACAUGACUGCAGAUGCCAUCAAGAGGGCAAUAUUUAUAAUGUUUUACAAGUAUGUUUAAAUGGUAAUUGGUAACUAGAUGUAAUUAGACUUGCAAUUUUUUAGUAAUGUCAAGUUUAUUUUAUUUUUUGCCUUGUCUGAUAAUGCACCAUUGGCUUCUAACUACCUCAGUGGCAGGCUUAUAGGGCACUGUCUUUUUACCUUCAUAAGAAGAUUGUACCUACAUUGAAGAGCAUUGUAAAUAAUAUUGUUCAGCUUAUAAAGAUUCAUUGAAAAGCACAGUAUAAAAAAGACUUGGUCUUAUUUUUGUAGGACUCCUGCCCUUUAGUGUGAGGUUUCUCAAGAAAAGAACUUAUUUUUACUGUUCUCAUUGAUACCCAAUAACAUUUAAGAUUUUCAUAUUUUGAUGACUUCUGUAGUUCAGAAUGCAAGGCGUUGAAGAACAAGACUUUCAUAUUUUGAUGACUUCUGUAGUAUGGAAUGUAAAAAAAUUGGCAUGAUCAGUACAAAUAAAAUUUGCUUUACUUUCAUUAUAUACAUUCAUGUAUCUACUUUUUGUAUUGUGAAAGUAAUUGUAUUUGUUUCUGUUAGUGCAGUCUGUGCUAUUAAAGCAAUUAUUAAAAAUAAA